AUGCUGCCGGCACGCGCACCGCGACGGAGCUGGUCGGGAGAGGCCCGGCGGGGACGACGAGUUGCCACCAGUGCCGCAAGGCUGGGGCCGUCCUUUGGUGUUCCAGCUGCGACAGGAGAGGCUACUGCGCCGGCUGCAUCUCGAGAUGGUAUGUCGCACCAUGGUCUGUCAGUAAUCAGUUACAGACUAGAGCUCGUAGUGAAUUAGCGCAUAGAAAGUACCCAGGCUUUGUGGUUGGCCAUUUUUAUGCUAUUGUUAGGUGAUUGCAGCAGUGUCCACCUAGACGCUCACCAGAUCUCUAUGACCACACUGAAGGAGAUAUUGCAGUAAUUACUGCUGCGCGUUACGUUGCAGUUCUGCUCAAACCACCUACAAAAAUCAAAAGCACCUGUAUGAAACUUGCAGAAAACAUGCACUAUCUUAGUCACUUGCAAAUGGAACUUUCAGAAACAUUAAGGGGCUGUUUGGUUGCCUGGUUCCAGCCCGGCCAGGCUCUCCGCAUGCGACUUCUGAGUGUUUGGUUGCCUGCGCCAGCGGCCGAGCCAGGCUCCUGUGGUGCAAGAUGCGCCUCCCAGCCAGGCCCGUGGGAAACGUAGGAAUCGAGCGUUUCCGUCAGGCCAGGCCGGCGCGAUGCAGGCUGGGAUGCGCGAGCUGCAUGAGAGGAGAGAGCAGCGGUGGACAACUCGUGCGCCCAGGCAACCAAACAGCUUCCCUGCUUGGCCAUGCUGCAUGCGCCCAGGCAACCAAACGGUGAGCAAUUGCAUGGCAGCAGCCUGGCCAAGGAGAGCCUGGCUCGAUGCAGGCUGGGGCAUGCGGGAAACCAGACAGCCCCUAAGUACCUUAGGGCAUAUUGCGACAUGCAUAAAAAAUGCAAGGAUAUUUAACUACUCAUUGUCUUAUUCGUUUCAAUAGCAUAACCUCUGGAUUGGCAUCUUAAAGGCAAAAUUUGGCAUCAGUUCAUUCCAAAUCGUCAGAUGCGAAAGCAACAACACACAACUUCAGGUGCAACAGUCAUCAUCUUCUCAUAAAAUAGUACAACUUCUGAGUCAUAGAAUUUGUUCUAUAACUUGAGUUGAAGAUGGUCUUGUGGUGCAAAACUGCAAGCAAGCCAAGACGGUCGUGGCCAAUGGAUCAGGAUCAGCGUUGGCGUCAGGAUUGAAUUACGUGCAGGAUGGGCGGCGGACAAGAAGCUGAAGGCGAAUCCAGCACGGACGCCUGUUGCUCGCCGGUCGAUGGUCACAUGAGAACGCCGCCAAACCAUUGAAACAAGCGCAGCCAGGGGAAACAGAUGAUGAUGUGCGCUCCACCACAUUAAGUACGAAUACUCCCCAUGUAGCAGCUAGCAAGAGUGCUGCUACUGGCUUUAGUUUCAGAUUGGAGCAGCGUGCUGAGAAGCGAAAGGAGGCUGUAAUAUGGAGGACCUGGUGCUGUAGUGCGAAAGUUUCAGUUGUAGUUAAAAUUUGACAGCAUCGCUCUGAAGUCAGUACAUACAUAAUAGUUGUAACAUUUGUCCAAGCUUGCAGGAAUUUUUUUUGCUUCUCUUCCAUAUAAAAUUUGUGUUUCCAGUGCUUGUACUUCUGAAUACAUCAACUCUAUCUGCGAUCUCUGCACCUCUGCUCUCAGCCGGUAUUCUACUGCAGGAGAACCAUGCUGCUGAAUUUGACUACAAGCAGGUUCAUAAAAAGUUCUACAAGUGAUUUAUUCUAAGGGGGCAACACUGAAAUGUCUAUGGUCAGCUUGGGAUUCUGAGCAAUUGGUUUAGCUGGUUAACUACUUGGCAUACCAAAGCACCCUGAAGCAUGAAGGAUUAUUCUUUCCGCAGCAUACUUCUAUGGGGAUUGAAGCCAGGUGCUGUGCUCUGAAGGAUUGUUUCACUGUCAGGGCCCAAAGGGAGCGAAUACUAAUGAACCUGGCACAAGCAGUUUGCACUGUCAAUCCGGCAGCUAAUGGAGGCACUACCGGUUCACCAUACUUCUUGGUUCAGGGAGGAACUCUAUUGUGUGAUUGCAUCUUUGUUAACCUCCCUGCCUUUUCCUUUUGUUAUCACAACCAUGAACAACAAGAACGAAGAAUUACAUCAUUCUGUUUGAUUUCGUGGUUAUUCGACAAGUAUUGAUUGCAUUCAUGGUGUGUUUGUGCAGCUUGGCAAUCUUGAUCUAUGGCUGACAAUGUGCUAAGCCAAUGCUUAGCCAACUACAGCAAACCAAUAUCAGUUGCUCAGCAUGAGAUAGGAUUAAAGUUCAAUGCUUGCCGUUUGUUGUAUAUAAUUGUGAUUUGAGGGGAUGAUAGAUUUUCAAAUUUUUGUUUUGCCCCGUGCGUUUGCACGGGCACGAACCUAGUUAAUUAAUAUAAGGUUAAGUGUUACAUUAAUCAGAAAAGGUAAGAAACGGGGCAUUACAGGUGGCUAGGAAUUUGAGAGAUUCUGCAACAAAAAUAUCGAUGGAUAUAUAGCAAAAACUCUGUUCUCAUUUCUUUUUAUUUCUCAGAUGAAAAGAAGAAAGUGAAUUAGUGAAACAUUACCAAUGUGCCCUUCGUGUGUGUGUCAACGCCGUCCACCGUUGUUGACACUGUUUCUGUCCCGCGAUUUUUCCGCUUGUCGGAUACGAGCCGCCAACCAUCGUCCACCCUUCCCGUGGUCAACUCGACACGAGACCGAGCCGGAACUGGCUCCCUGACCGUGCGCCAUACAUAAAGCCAUGCCACCUCCGACUGCCUCUGCUUCUUCGUUCUUCCCCCUAGCUUCUACGCUCGCCUUGCCGUCGCCGCUGCCCGUGCCUAGCUGCGGGCUGCCGCCACUGCGCCGGCUGCCACGCGAAGCUAACUUCAUCUCUCCUCCAUGGCUGUCGUCCAGAAGAGGCCUUCCUCGCGUGCUGAGGGCGGCUGCUUAGCCGCCGCAAGGCG